GCCAGGCAUAGUGGCCCACAUCUGUAAUUCCAGCUACUUGGGAGGCUGAGGCAAGAGGAUCACUCGAGCCCAGGAGUUCAAGGCUGCAAUGAGGUAUGAUUGCACCAAUGCACUCUAGCCUGGGCAACAGAGCAAGACCUUGCCUCUU
rnacentral:SRP_RNA from 1 species